UACGUAGGGUGCUAGCGUUGUUCGGAAUCAUUGGGCGUAAAGCGUGUGUAGGUGGUUAGUUAAGUCGGGUGUGAAAUCCCUCAGCUCAACUGAGGAAGUGCAUCCGAAACUGAUUAGCUAGAGGACGGUAAAGGAAGGUAGAAUUCCUGAAGUAGAGGUGAAAUUCGUAGAUAUCAGGAGGAAUACCGGUGGCGAAGGCGGCCUUCUGGGCCGUUCCUGACACUGAGACACGAAAGCGUGGGGAGCAAACAGG
rnacentral:rRNA from 1 species